CAAUAGCGUAUAUUAAAGUUGUUGCAGUUAAAAAGCUCGUAGUUGGAUUUCUGGUGGGAGCGAUCGGUCUGGCGCUUAGCGCGAGUACUUGCAUCGUCUCCGGCCAUCCUUGGGGAGAGUCUGUCUGGCAUUAGGUUGUCGGGCAGAGGAUCUUCAUCGUUUACUGUGAAAAAAUUAGAGUGUUCAAAGCAGGCUUAUGCCGUUGAAUAUAUUAGCAUGGAAUAAUAAGAUAGGACUUUGGUACUAUUUUGUUGGUUUGCGCACCAAAGUAAUGAUUAAUAGGGACAGUUGGGGGUAUUCGUAUUCCGUUGUCAGAGGUGAAAUUCUUGGAUUUACGGAAGACGAACUACUGCGAAAGCAUUUACCAAGGAUGUCUUCAUUAA
rnacentral:rRNA from 1 species